AUCCGACUGAUGAGUCCCAAAUAGAGCGAAACGUGCGUCAUGGAU
rfam:Schistosoma haematobium scaffold972_10, whole genome shotgun sequence.